GCAUAUCAAUAAGCGGAAGGAAAAGAAACCAACAGGGAAUUGCCUAGUAACGGCGAGUGAAGCGGCAACAGCUCAAAUUUGAAAUCUGGCUCCCUUGGGGGUCCGAGUUGUAAUUUGUAGAGGGUGCUUUGGCGUUGGCCCCGGCCUAAGUUCCUUGGAACAGGACGUCAUAGAGGGUGAGAACCCCGUACGUGGCCGGCGGUCUUCGCCGUGUAAAGCCCCUUCGACGAGUCGAGUUGUUUGGGAAUGCAGCUCUAAAUGGGAGGUAAAUUUCUUCUAAAGCUAAAUAUUGGCCAGAGACCGAUAGCGCACAAGUAGAGUGAUCGAAAGAUGAAAAGCACUUUGGAAAGAGAGUCAAAAAGCACGUGAAAUUGUUGAAAGGGAAGCGCUUGCAGCCAGACUUGCCUGUAGUUGCUCAUCCGGGCUCUUGCCCGGUGCACUCUUCUGCGGGCAGGCCAGCAUCAGUCCAGGCGGUCGGAUAAAGGCCUUGGGAAUGUGGCUCUCUUCGGGGAGUGUUAUAGCCCAGGGUGCAAUGCGGCCAGCUUGGACUGAGGUCCGCGCAUCUGCUAGGAUGCUGGCGUAAUGGCUGUAAGCGGCCCGUCUUGAAACACGGACCAAGGAGUCUAACAUCUAUGCGAGUGUUUGGGUGUCAAGCCCGAACGCGUAAUGAAAGUGAACGGAGGUGGGAACCCCUCGGGGCGCACCAUCGACCGAUCCUGAUGUCUUCGGAUGGAUUUGAGUAAGAGCAUAGCUGUUGGGACCCGAAAGAUGGUGAACUAUGCCUGAAUAGGGUGAAGCCAGAGGAAC
rnacentral:rRNA from 1 species